UUUGGUCAUGUACUAGUUG
rnacentral:misc_RNA from 1 species